GACGAACGCUGGCGGCGUGCUUAACACAUGCAAGUCGAACGGAAAGGCCCUGCUUUUGUGGGGUGCUCGAGUGGCGAACGGGUGAGUAACACGGGAGUAACCUGCCCUUGACUUUGGGAUAACUUCAGGAAACUGGGGCUAAUACCGGAUAGGAGCUCCUGCUGCAUGGUGGGGGUUGGAAAGUUUCGGCGGUUGGGGAUGGACUCGCGGCUUAUCAGCUUGUUGGUGGGGUAGUGGCUUACCAAGGCUUUGACGGGUAGCCGGCCUGAGAGGGUGACCGGCCACAUUGGGACUGAGCUACGGCCCAGACUCCUACGGGAGGCAGCAGUGGGGAAUAUUGCACAAUGGGCGGAAGCCUGAUGCAGCAACGCCGCGUGCGGGAUGACGGCCUUCGGGUUGUAAACCGCUUUCGCCUGUGACGAAGCGUGAGUGACGGUAAUGGGUGAAGAAGCACCGGCUAACUACGUG
rnacentral:rRNA from 1 species